AGAGUUUGAUCCUGGCUUAGGAUGAACGCUGGCGGCGUGCUUAACACAUGCAAGUCGAACGGAGUUAUUGAAAGCUUGCUUUAAAUAACUUAGUGGCGGACGGGUGAGUAACGCGUGGGUAACCUGCCUUAUACCGGGGGACAACAGUUGGAAACGACUGCUAAUACCGCAUAAGCGCACAAGAAGGCAUCUUCUAGUGUGAAAAACUCCGGUGGUAUAAGAUGGACCCGCGUCUGAUUAGCCAGUUGGCGGUGUAACGGACCACCAAAGCGACGAUCAGUAGCCGGCCUGAGAGGGCAAACGGCCACAUUGGGACUGAGACACGGCCCAAACUCCUACGGGAGGCAGCAGUGGGGAAUAUUGCACAAUGGAGGAAACUCUGAUGCAAGCGACGCCGCGUGAGUGAAGAAGUAUCUCGGUAUGUAAAGCUCUAUCAGCAGGAAAGAAAAUGACGGUACCUGACUAAGAAGCCCCGGCUAACUACGUGCCAGCAGCGGC
rnacentral:rRNA from 1 species